rnacentral:SRP_RNA from 1 species
UAGCACUAGAUGGGGAGCUAGCGGUGCCCUGUAACCUACAAUCCGCUACAGUAGGAUUGAUCACCCGCCGAGAAUUAUCGUAUGGAAAGCCGAUUAAAUUAAGGGAUGUUGAUAUUAAGGUCUUGUGCAAUUUCAUAUUGUGAACCGUGUCAGGGCUUGACCGCAGCAGCACUAAGCAAUUAAUGGAGUGUGCCACAAGGAAGCUUUAAAGUAGUUACCUGAUUUAAUGCCGAUUCGGUGCGUUAGUCCGGAGCGGGUGUGCUU